rnacentral:rRNA from 1 species
UACAGAGGGUGCAAGCGUUGUUCGGAAUUACUGGGCGUAAAGAGUGCGUAGGCGGCACUGAGAGUCAUAGGUGAAAUCCCCGAGCUUAACUCGGGAACUGCCUGUGAGACCUCAGUGCUAGAGUACUAAAGGGGCCGGUGGAAUUCCAAGUGUAGCGGUGAAAUGCGUAGAUAUUUGGAGGAACACCUGUGGCGAAGGCGGCCGGCUGGUUAGAUACUGACGCUGAGGCACGAAAGCGUGGGGAGCAAACAGG